AGAGUUUGAUUCAUGGCUCAGGAUGAACGCUAGCGGCAGGCUUAACACAUGCAAGUCGAGGGGUAUAUUUCUUCGGAGAUAGAGACCGGCGCACGGGUGCGUAACGCGUAUGCAAUCUACCUUUUACAGAGGGAUAGCCCAGAGAAAUUUGGAUUAAUACCUCAUAGUAUAUAGACCUGGCAUCAGGAUUAUAUUAAAGUCACAACGGUAAAAGAUGAGCAUGCGUCCCAUUAGCUAGUUGGUAAGGUAACGGCUUACCAAGGCUACGAUGGGUAGGGGUCCUGAGAGGGAGAUCCCCCACACUGGUACUGAGACACGGACCAGACUCCUACGGGAGGCAGCAGUGAGGAAUAUUGGACAAUGGGCGCAAGCCUGAUCCAGCCAUGCCGCGUGCAGGAUGACGGUCCUAUGGAUUGUAAACUGCUUUUAUACGAGAAGAAACACUACUUCGUGAAGUAGCUUGACGGUAUCGAAGAAUAAGGAUGGC
rnacentral:rRNA from 1 species